rnacentral:rRNA from 1 species
GAUGAACGCUGGCGGCGUGCCUAACACAUGCAAGUCGAACGGGAAUCUUCGGAUUCUAGUGGCGGACGGGUGAGUAACGCGUAAGAAUCUAACUUCAGGACGGGGACAACAGUUGGAAACGACUGCUAAUACCCGAUAUGCCGCGAGGUGAAACCUAAUUGGCCUGAAGAAGAGCUUGCGUCUGAUUAGCUAGUUGGUGGGGUAAGAGCCUACCAAGGCGACGAUCAGUAGCUGGUCUGAGAGGAUGAGCAGCCACACUGGGACUGAGACACGGCCCAGACUCCUACGGGAGGCAGCAGUGGGGAAUUUUCCGCAAUGGGCGAAAGCCUGACGGAGCAACGCCGCGUGAGGGAGGAAGGUCUUUGGAUUGUAAACCUCUUUUCUCAAGGAAGAAGUUCUGACGGUACUUGAGGAAUCAGCCUCGGCUAACUCCGUGCCAGCAGCCGCGGUAAUGCGGGGGAAGCAAGCGUUAUCCGGAAUUAUUGGGCGUAAAGCGUCCGCAGGUGGUCWGCCAAGUCUGCCGUCAAAUCAGGUUGCUUAACGACCUAAAGGCGGUGGAAACUGGCAGACUAGAGAGCAGUAGGGGUAACAGGWAUUCCCAGUGUAGCGGUGAAAUGCGUAGAGAUUGGGAAGAACNNNGGUGGCGAAAGCG